rnacentral:rRNA from 1 species
AGAGAGAGACAUGCGCGCAUAUCAAUAAGCGGAGGAAAAGAAACUAACAAGGAUUCCCUUAGUAACGGCGAGUGAAGCGGGAAGAGCUCAAAUUUGAAAUCUUCAAGGUUUUACCUUGACGAAUUGUAGUUUAAAGAAGUGUUUUCUGCUGAAGUUUUGGUAAAAGUUCUUUGGAAUAGGACAUCAUAGAGGGUGAGAAUCCCGUAUUUGACCAUUAUUUUCAGCUUUGUGAUACACUUUCAAAGAGUCGGAUUGUUUGGGAAUGCAGUCCAAAAUGGGUGGUAAAUUUCAUCUAAAGCUAAAUAUUGGCGAGAGACCGAUAGCGAACAAGUACCGUGAGGGAAAGAUGAAAAGAACUUUGAAAAGAGAGUUAAACAGUACGUGAAAUUGUCAAAAGGGAAGCGUUUGACACCAGUGUUGUUUUCUCGAAAAUCAAUUAAAAAUGGCUCGAUUUUGUAUUGCUUGAGACCUUAAAAGCUCACUGUACAUUUUUCGUGUCUUUUUUAAUGCACUUUUCGUUUAACAAGUCAACAUCAAUUUCUUUUGUUGUAAAAGGGUCAUUGGAAGGUGGCUUUCUUUUCGGAGAAAGUGUUUAUAGCCUUUGGCCUCUGCAAUCGGAGAGACUGAGGUCUGCAGCGUAGACUCUUCGGGGUUAGAUACAUUUGUGCUAAGUUAUAGCUUUUUAUAGACAACUUGUUGACUAUAAUUAGUCUUGUAGCUUACUCGCUUAUGCUAUUUUACCUACGCUUAGGAUGUUGAAGAUGUAGCACAUCAU